UGUGCGUGUCCGUCGUCAACGUCGUCGUCGACGAUACCGUCCCCACCUAUCUCAGAGCCAUGGCGGUGUGCCUGUCGCUGUGUUUCGGCCGCCUGGGCACCUUCAUCACAUCUCUCAUGCUGGGUGCCCUCAUAGACUCCAACUGCGUCCUCGCCAUCGCCAUCCUUGGAGGAUACGUCGUUGCAUGUGGCAUUGCAUCAACAUUGCUGCCAUCAGAAGCAAAGUUGAAGGAGCUACGUGGCUGAGGGUGUCCACACCAGCAUCGGUUGUUCUUUCUCCAGAAGUUCUGUU